AACAGACUGAUUCUGGGGCAAAAAGUCCAUGUUGGUCCCAAUGCCCAGCUAUGGACAGGCUACUGGGCACCAGCCCAUGCUUUUCUGCAUCUAGACCACUGGCUGAAUUAGAAGAGACUGGGAGAAACCAUGAUUGGAAGGAAUUGAAUCUUGGUCCUACAACAGUGCUACAAAGGGGUUCAUCCACAAGAAAUGUUUAAGAGUGAGCAGCUAAAAACUUUAACAUUGACACAACAUCCAAGCAUGUGAUUAGCGACUUGUCUCUCCAAACAAGGUAGAAGCCAGCUUGAAUGUCUUCUCUCCUGUGAAAGCAGCAGCAGCUGUUUUGAUAGAAGUCUAAAGAUCUCAAGAUUCUUGAUCAAUGCAGCCUUCUUGAACUUCCUAACACCACAGAAGGACAUUCAUUCUUUGUGAUCUCAAACAUCAGCUCCAUUUCACCGCUGCAAAAAGAGAUGUCUACCAGAUGGUGAUACCACAUAAAUAUCAUAGACAUCAUAUUAGAUCACUAAUAAUCUCAAAGUAACAGAAAGAGACAGGGUCCAGAGAUGUGCUCUGCACCUUAUAUAUGUUGUCAUCUUGAGGGAUCCUCUCAGUAACACUUCACAACAGGGAUAAUUAAUUCCAUUCCAUAAAAGGAGGAACUAAGGUUUAGUGAACUUAAGGAACUUGCCCAAGGUUGCAAAGCUUCUAAACAGCAGAACGUAGAUACAAAUCCAGAAUCGCUUUGCUCUGAAAACCCCCAAGUUUUUCCAUCACACCCCACAUGGCCCUGGGCUAUUAGUGCCUUUGACUUUUACCAAUAGAACAACGUCACAAAA